UUAAUCCAUGCAGUAUUCCUCCUGAUUUUGUGUCCCACGUUGCCUUCAGUCUGUUGAGAGCAGAGAAAUCAUUUCCAUAGAGAGGAGGCUUUGCAUCGUCAGCUGAUCUGCAGUGAACUGAGAAGGUUUAUAGUCCUGUGAGUUCAACACUGCAGCACUCAGAUCUGUCAGUCAACACAGCAGAAACCACAACCACCAUGACUCUCAUCACCAUCCUCAUCUGGACGCUGGCCUGCUGCUGUUUCACAGGAUGCAGCGGUCAGGUGACGGUGACUCAGCCUCCAGUAGUGACAUCUACUCCAGGAUCCACUGUCACUCUCACCUGUAAGACCAACCAAGCUGUUUACACAUAUAGUGACGGAGAUGAGGCUAUGUCCUGGUAUCAACAGAAAUCUGGACAGCCUCCAAAGCUUCUAAUAAAAUAUGUGAGCACUCGUGAAUCAGGAACACCAGCUCGGUUUAGUGGCAGUGGAAGCAGCUCUGACUUCACUUUGACCAUCAGUGGAGUUCAGACUGAAGAUGCAGCAGUUUAUUACUGUAAGAGUAUUCAUGUAAUAAACAGUGCUAAUGUGUUCACACAGUGAUUUGUCGUCGUACAAAAACCUCCCUCAGUCAGACUGCAGAGACACUGAGCUGUUACAGCAGGAACCGACUGCAGCUGCUGAAGAGGAGGAGACUCUGACACAGACCACUGAACACAGAGCUGACAGUAACCUCACCAAGCACAAACCUUAUCGUAAACUUUGCUUCUCAGGUCAAAUUAUCAUUCUGACUAUUUUUAUCCUGGAGUAAGACAUUUUUUUCUAGUUUCUACUUUUCGUUGCUGCAUCAUCACUCUGAACUUGGUUCAGUUGCAAUAUUUUUGUUUAUUCUUCAAUUCAGAAAAUCUGGAUAUUUAAAAAAAAAAAAUCUCAUCUGUAACAACCACCUGUCCAACCAACCCACUUUUGCUUUCAUUUCUGGGCUAAAAAUAUUUAGCUAGACUUUUAGACCUUCAUGUUCAGGUGAUCUGCUGGCUGUUCGUGUACCUCGGCCCCAAACUAAUAAGUGCCACUAAAAUGUUCCUGUCCACUACAUCUCUACUGUAGGUGUUUGUAUUUUCUUCUCACUUUAUGUUACGUUUUGGCUUGCUGUCUGAUCCUGACAAAAGCCUUGCAACCUUGGUUCUCCUGGACUCAUUUGCUGUUCUUCCAGCACUUUUCUAAUUCAAAUAUAAUUCAAUCAAACUCAAUCAAAAAGACAAACCAGAAGACAACAAAGAGUUUGAACAAAAAGAUCAUUUAACACCAUGUUGUAUUGUACUCUUCUAACAGAUGGUGACAAACUAACCCUGGUGAGGAUUAUACUCUUUUCUCUCUGACUGACUGGUUACAGUUUUAUGGAACUCAAAGUGUUGAAUAUUAAAUAAAUAAAAAAGACAUUAUGAAAUAAAUGAUCAUAUGAAUAAAUGAUCUAAAAUAUAUGAGUAAAGCAACAAUUUGUGAAAUAUUUUAUGACAUUAUUAAAACUUACCUCACU